UAUGGCUAGGGUUCUGCUCCUGGGCGUGUUCGACAUAGAAACACUGAUCCAGAGCAACUUGAGGGGAGGUGAAUCAAAAGUUGCACAAGGGGAGCAGCGUCGGAGUGGCCUUGAGUGGUUAAAAGUCAAAGCUAUUAUGUAUGCUGUUAUGUUAAAGCACCAGGGGGUAACCCAAGGCCAAAUUGGAAUGGCUUUAAAUUGUAAAAUGGCGG